rnacentral:rRNA from 1 species
GUGGGGAAUCUUCCACAAUGGACGAAAGUCUGAUGGAGCAACGCCGCGUGAGUGAAGAAGGUCUUCGGAUCGUAAAACUCUGUUGUUAGAGAAGAACGUGCAUGAUAGUAACUGAUCAUGUAAUGACGGUAUCUAACCAGAAAGCCACGGCUAACUACGUGCCAGCAGCCGCGGUAAUACGUAGGUGGCAAGCGUUGUCCGGAUUUAUUGGGCGUAAAGGGAACGCAGGCGGUUUUUUAAGUCUGAUGUGAAAGCCUUCGGCUUAACCGAAGAAUAGCAUUGGAAACUGGAAGACUUGAGUGCAGAAGAGGAGAGUGGAAUUCCAUGUGUAGCGGUGAAAUGCGUAGAUAUAUGGAGGAACACCAGUGGCGAAAGCGGCUCUCUGGUUUGUAACUGACGCUGAGGUUCGAAAGCGUGGGUAGCAAACAGGAUUAGAAACCCCUGUAGUCC